rnacentral:lncRNA from 1 species
UGCGCCACCUCACUUCCACUGUGCCCAUUUGAAUUCACGAGAAGGAAGUUCUCAUGAAUUUUUCCUCAUGCAAAGCCCUCCUCACACCCUACUUUAAUGCACCAAAUGAGUGGAUAAGGAUGAUUAGUUGGCCAUUCAAAUUCAAAACAAAAGUUUGAAUUUGAAUGAGCAACCAAUCUUAGCACCUUGACCUUAUCCUCUUUUAACGCCCCAUUUAUUACAUGAGAAAAUAUUUCUCAUGAAAUCACUCAUGCACAAAUUAAGCCACGCCCUCCUCUUCUCAUGCCCUUAGUGGAUAGGGAUAAAUUGAUUUCCAUUUGAAUUCAAAAUUUGAUUUGAAUUCAAAUGU